GCAGCGGGUUGGUCGGCUGAGUGGCGGAGCGGAAGCGCAGACGGGGACCGGGAAAGGCGCUGUCGGUGACAUCACGGAUAGGGCGAUUCCUAUGUAGAUGAGGCAGCGCAGGGGCUGCUGCUUCGGCCACAGAGGAUUUCUUGUGCUGUGGGAGCAAGUCCAGGACCGCCGGUUAAAUUUGGUUGGUAACGUUAGAGAUACUCCUCACGUGCUUGGAAUGCCUCUCAUUAUCUUCUUCAGGUUACAAGGGCUCCAGAAUAGUGACAUAAGGGUGAGUGCAAGAUUUUUGCUAUAGUUCUUUGCUUUUUUUUUUUUUUUCCUCUUAGAGUGGUUAGCAUCCAUGUAUCUGAAAUAAUAAAUCAAGAGUAGAGAUGGGCAUCUGUAUUAGUUUUCUAUUGCUGCCUAUUAGCACAUGC
rnacentral:lncRNA from 1 species